rnacentral:rRNA from 1 species
UGCUCCUAGUACGAGAGGACCGGAGUGGACGCAUCACUGGUGUUCGGGUUGUCAUGCCAAUGGCACUGCCCGGUAGCUAAAUGCGGAAGAGAUAAGUGCUGAAAGCAUCUAAGCACGAAACUUGCCCCGAGAUGAGUUCUCCCUGACCCUUUAAGGGUCCUGAAGGAACGUUGAAGACGACGACGUUGAUAGGCCGGGUGUGUAAGCGCAGCGAUGCGUUGAGCUAACCGGUACUAAUGAACCGUGAGGCUUAACCUUACAACGCCGAAG